rnacentral:lncRNA from 1 species
AUCGGGACAGCCGCUCGCUGCAGCUACUCUACGUUGCGGCUGCAGCUGCAGCUAGCUUUGCAGCAGCCCAGCCGUUCGGCUGCAGGCCCAAGUAGCAGCAGCUGCAGCCUGCAGCCCAACAACUCGGCUGCAGAGCAAGCAUCUUCUCUUGUGAUGAACCAUUCCUAUUUGUAAGUCACGCAGAUGCUAGAAAGAUCAAAGGAGCGAAGCAGAUAGGGAGAGACGCUCCUCUUAAGGUUUGGAAUUCGGACGCCGCCCUUCGUAUUCGCCUUCCGUGAAGGUUGCCGGCGCAUCAAGGGUGCCAAAUUAGGUCAGCGACGCCUCCCUCACCCCUUUCCCAAUCGGCGGCCAGCAUUCUCGGGAGGCGACAGCAACAUCGCAGAUCGCACCUCAAACCUUCGGCAUGUGCUCAUUCGGGAUGUGGGAAGCUCCACCGAAGCCCACAGAGUACUUUCCCAAGAAGAGGAAUCUGGUAAGUAGGCUUCGAGAUGAUUAGCACUAGUUGUGUUGUGUGUUUUGAUUUGCUACCGCGAUAUGUUUUCUAGUGAAAAUAAUCAGCUUCUGCAAUGAUGUGACUACUAUACUUGAUGAUUAUUUCUUACUUGUGCUCUUUGUAACUAUUAUUCAGAGUUAGGGGGUGUUUGGGAGGAGGGGGUUAAAUUUUAGCCCCCGUCACAUCGAAUGUUUGGACACCAAUUAUCGAAUGUUUGGACACCAAUUAGGAGUAUUAAAUCUAGACUAAUUACACAACCCCUAGGCUAAAUCGCGAGACGAAUCUAUUAAGCCUAAUUAGUCCAUGAUUUGACAAUGUGGUGCUACAGUAACCAUUCACUAAUGAUGGAUUAAUUAGGUUUAAUAGAUUCGUCUCGUGAUUUAACCUAGGGGUUCUGCAAUUAGUUUUAUAAUUAGCUUAUGUUUAGUCCUCCUAAUUAGUAUCCGAACAUCCGAUAUGACAGGGCUAAAGUUUAGUCCACUCCUCCCAAACACCCCCUUAGAUUUGGUAUUUGUACCUGUGCUAUUUCAGAAUCGACCUACAGAUCUAUUUCACACUAAUAUGUCUACUGAAAUCUCGAUUUAUUUCUGUGUUGAGUCUUGGACGGGGAAUCAGUGUGCAUUAAUAUGUUUAGUUGUCAAAUUACAGCCAUUUUGAAUUGCUGUUUAAAUAAACAGUAGCGCUCCAGCUAGUUAUCGUUGGCUGGCUGCAAGAGCUGUUCUUUGGCUGCAACGUUUGUUGGCUGGCUGCAGCUGCUGUAGUGGCUGCUGCAGCUGCAGCUGAGCUGCAGCCAGCACAACCGAGCGCUUCGGAUGGUCUGGCUCCCUAUAUGCAACACGUCUUUGUUUGGUUGGUGUUUGUAUGGAGCCAGGUUAGUUGGAGAAUCUGAUUGGUUGCCUGUCUAGCUGCAUUUCUUGAGUGUAUGCGCGCUUCCCAAAAGCUGGUCACUGCACCGCCAGAGCCUGGCUGUUAGGGGAAUAGUCUGGCAGUCCACCACGAAGUAGAUCAAUGUAGUAGAUUGUGUGGAGGGGAUCGCCGCGCCUAAAGCUAGAUGGAUGAAUACAAGGAUAUAAGGGACUCUACCAAGUUCGAGCCACCAGAGGUGUAAUACCCUACGUCUUGUGCUCGAGGUUGUAUUCUCAGCGUGUAGCGUAUUGAAUAUGACUUGGAUUUUUGAGGGGUUCCUGCAGCCCUUAUAUAGUGGGGGGGAGGGGGGGCAGGGUUACAUAUUUAAUUCGAUCUAAUCCUAGUCGAUUACAAGGAAAUCUACUACCUUUCAGUACAAGUUAUCUCUUUGCAUAUUUAAACAUGUCUAUCUGUAACUAUAUCUCUUUAUGCCGAUCCUUAGUAUUGAUCCGUACACCUAUCCCGAAUCCCCCUCAUAUGCAGUGCUCCAUUUGAAGGGUGGCUAGGUCCAUCCAAAUGGUACCCAGGGGAUAUAUCCCCCACACUGACUCUGAGGAAACAAGGUGUUCCUGCAUAUUUGUGGAGCCAAACUCAAGGAGCCUUUUUGCACAUAACGGACCAGGCCAGCUACCGAGCAUAAGCAACCAAUCAUCACGUCCUCGCAUCGCGAGAGCCUGGUUGGGGCUGUAUACGGACAACCAGCCCCAAAAUAGAUACGUCUUUAUUUUCUCUAUCCAAUUCCACAUUCGCAUUCGACAAUAUCUAACACCAUCCGUAUACGAUUAUAUGAAAUUAUUAGUUAUCUCUAUAACUAAUGAUAAAUGAUGUUAAUUUGAAUUAAUAAUGAUAGUAUAUCAUUGGAACUAUUCGAAAGUUAGCUUUAUAACUAAAAAUUAAUGAUAUUAAUUUUAUUAUUAUAUCCAUAAAACUAUUUAAAUCUAUCUCUAAUUUUAGUGACCAAUGUUAUUAAAUUUAAUAAUAAAUAUAUAUAAAUAUGAAAUUUAAUUUUAAAUACUCUAGUUUAUGUAUUUAUCAAAAAACAUUUUUAUAUAAUAUUUAUUCUUCAUUGAUGAAUGUUUAUAUUUAUUGAAAUAUAUAUUUAUCCGUAGAUUAUUUUUUCAUAAAGUGCACUAUUUUAAGUAAUUAUUAAUUAAUGUAAUAUUUUUAUGAGCAAUCUUUGUUUGCACUUGUUACUCAAACUCUAGUCUCUACUUGUAUAAUGAUUUUGUUAUUCAAAAACCAUCAAUAAACAAAAUAGGUAAAUAAUAUUAUUAAAAUUGAGUAAAUAUCUGUUUCAUAUCCAAAUCCGAGACAAUUUUUUGUAUUUGUAUUCAAGAACAUCUAAAUUCGUGUUCGUAUUCAAUUUUAAAAUAUGGUAAAAAGUACUAUCUGAGUCCGAUUUCAUGCGGAUCCUAUCCGAAUUCUAUCCCUACUCGGCAGUGGUGCUUCACGGGAGGACAUCCGCCAUUGGUGACUGGCGGGCUUUGAAGUAAUCACAUAUUUUCAGUCUUCCAUGAGUCGCAUCGGUGGCUCUCGGUGCCAUGCCGGCGACUGCAGGUUUCUUUGGAAAUGAGCUCUAGAGAUUUCCACAGAGAUAUAAAGAUCGAAAACAAUUGAAAACCUUUCUCACUCAAAACGGAUCCAUCGUACCCUUCACGCCAGACCCAUAUGUCAUCUAUUUGAGGAAGAAGAUAAGGUGCAUACCCAUAAAAAUCGUGACUUAGAAAAUGUUUCUGCCAAAAACCAAAUUCUUUUCUCACCGUUCCGUUCGUUUACCUGUUCUGUGUACCCACGUUCAUCUAAUCAUCUUUCCCGAGCCCUGCCAAUCAUGGCUCGUUAAUUCCAUCUUUUUCCUUUUGUGCAACGUUGUUUGGUUCCCCAUCCGUCUGCGCCGUCCCUUCCUGCCUAGCCCAGCAAGGUUGCGACCUGCCGACCCCCUCCCUCCCGGUGACCUGCCUCUGCCCCUCCCUCACUACCCCGUCGCCCCUCCAUCUGAACCGCCUUGAAUGUGGCGGCAGCGGUGGCCCACCUUUGUCCCUCCCCCUCUAUCUAUGUCGCCUCAAUGGUUGCGGCGGCGGCAGCUCAUAGGACGAGGAGGAGGUAGCGCGAAGGUCCACUCUGCCCCUUCUUUCUCCAUGAGAUUUCAUCAACCACUGCCAUCUCGCUCUAUUGGUUAGGGAUGAAAACGGACGGAAAAUUUCCCGUUCCCGUCCGCCCAUUUUUCUAUAUUUGUCCUAUAUUUUAAGCUAUAUGAAAACGGGAUGGUUAAGUUCGAUAAUAGGAUGGAAACGGGGUGGGAGUACACGGGAACAAGAUGGGAUACAUUUGAGGGGGUAUCCCGCUAGUAUUUGCGGGAUCCCAUUUUCAACCGGGAUGAUCCCAUUUACAAUUUAUACGGGAUAGGUCCAGUAACCCCAACUCCUCGGGCCUCAGCUAGCCAGCCCAACAGGCAAGAGGUGAGGACGUAUAAAAUAUUUCCCAAACACUAACCCCCUUCGUUCCAUUCACAUCCCAUUCGUGACUUCCCAAGCGCUGCCAGCCCUGCAAAAUCGGCAAAUCGCUGGGCGCCCGCGCCGUGCCACGGUGCCGCCGUCGACCCCUCCGCUGUCCGCUCUUGGCUUGUCGAAGCCACCGUCCUCGACGCGCUGGUGCCUGGGCAGGAAGCCCACACGCGCGCCGUUCUCCCGUUGUAGGCAGUAGGUUUACCAUGUUCCCACACGUGCGACAGUGGUAGCCAGGCUUUUGUUCUAUUUUUGUGUCGUGAUAAACUAGUACUACUGCCUUGUGGUCUUGUUUAGUAAACUUAUUUGUGGUUUGUCGCACACUGUGUAUCUGUGUUUCAGUGAUAUACUAUUCUACUUGUCAAGUGCAAUGCAGCAAGUGUAAGUCAGCAAACCGCAAGUGCCAAGUGGCAUGCAGCAUGCAGCCGUGCAGGACUGCUAGAGUGCUAGUGUAGUAGAUGUUUUGGAAUGUGUCAUCCCGAUAAAUGGUCCCGGUUCCCGGCCGUUUCCGUUGUAUGUCCGCUUGUAUUUGUUCGUUUUCAUAUAAUCGUGUAUCCUGGUCAGUGCCGGUCCUAAGCUUUUGAGGGCCCUCCGGCGAACUCGUCGCGAGGGUCCCUCUAAACUAUAUAUAAAUCUUAUAAUACAUAUAAGUGCUAAUUUUUCUUACAAAGCGAAACCAAACCCAAUAAUAUAUUUCUAAUUUAACAUGUUUGAUAAUUAUCAAGGAAUAAUAUAGACUAAAACUAAUAUGAUUACCUUAAGGAAGAAUAGAACUUCAUAAUAUACAUUGCUUCUCAUAAAAAGAUAGUUCUUCGGGCAUUUCUUGAUGCAAAAUCAUCAAGGACGGUAUUGAGAUCAAUAGUGUCCAAGAUAUCCCUCUCGAUGGUGCACAUAGUCAAUCCAUUUAACCUUUCUUGUGACAUAGUUGAUCUCAAAUAGUUCUUCAACAACUUCAAUUUUGAGAAACUUCUUUCUGCCGAAGCUACAGUUAGAGGUACAGUUAAGAGGAUUCGAUAGGCAACUGAAACAUUUGGAUAGCAAUCUGCAGUUAUAACAAACUUCAGAAUCUCAAGCGCUGACAUCAAAGAAUCUGGCAAAGUCACUUGUAGCACCUUUAAUUCUGAAAAAAAAAUCAUUGAUCUCAACAUCGGAUGAGUUAUCCUGAGAAAAUGUUUCCACAAAAUUCUUGCAGUGCAACCAAAGAUCAGCUUCAUCCAAAGAUUUCAAAUUUUUUGAGUUGAACAAGAACCCAAAAAUGUUAUCAAAUUUUUUCAUCUGCUCAAAUCUACUAGUCAAUGAAGCAAUUGCAGCAUCAAUCAUAACAUUGAAGUACUCUACUCUAAAUGAGUCCACAGCAGAUCGUUGUAUUUCCUCAUCUUGGUUAUCUUGUUCAUCAAAUUGUUUAUUUCUCUUUCCUUGACGUUUUGUACGAAAUUUUAGCUCUAUAUCCAUUUCAAAUGCAAUGUUUUUUGCUGUAUCCAUACUAGAAGUGAAACCUUCAUCUCUAUACUUCUUAAAAUAUGAUAUGAAACCUUCAAUAUGUUUGAGAGUAUCAUCUAUACUCACAAUUUUAGACUGCAACUUCUUGCUCACCUUAUUUAUAGAGAAUAAAAUAUCGUGCCAAAUAACCAAACCAACUAAAAAUUCAAAAUUCUCUAGUGCACUCACCAAAGAUUGACAUUCACUAACUGCCAUUGGAUCAUCAGUUGAAGCCUUCUCUAGCGCUAUUAAAGCUGAUCUUAUUUGAGGAGUUUGGAAUCUGAUAGCUUGAACACUUUUUAUUCGACUUUCCAGCGUGUAUUAGACCAUGACUUAACUGUCAAUCCUGAAACAUUGUAUACUAAAAUCUUCCACCUUUUAGUAGAUUUUGCAAACAAUGUGUAUAUACGUUGGAUGAGACCAAAAAAAGAAAUAGCUUAUCUGCAAGAUUUAACAAAUAGUAAGUUUGAAAGUUUUCCCAAAACAUGACAUAUUAUAUGAAAACAAUGUAUAAUAGAAAUAAUAGUUUACCUGCAAGAUUUUCCCAUAUCACAAAGACUAAGAUUCAGACUAUGACAUGCACACGGCAUGUAUAGUGCUUUUCGAUUAAUUUCAAGCAAGCGCUUCUGAACACCUUGAUGAGAACCCUUCAUAUUUGAACCAUUAUCAUAGCCUUGUACUCUCACAUCAUCAAUAUUCAAAUCAAGAGAGGCCAAUACAUUCUUUAAUUCAUUAAAAAGACCUAAUCCUGAUGUGUCAUCUACCUUCAAGAAUUCUAGGAAGAACUCCUCUACCCUUGGAACAUUCCUUGACAUAUUGACACACCGAAUAAUUAGUCAUUUGUUCUUCAUGGCUCACAUCUGGAGUACAAUCUAAAAUAACAGAAAAGUACUUGGCAUCUUUGAUGAUCUUUAGUAUAGUUUGUUUCACACAAUCUGCAAGAAGAGAAAUCAUCUCAUUCUGAAUUUUAUGCCCAAGAUAAUGAUGAUGAAUCUCACUAUUUUGAAUCCGCCUAAUAUGGUCUUGCAUCACGGGAUCAAAUUCACCCAUCAUUUCAAUUGUGCCCAAAAAGUUGCCAUUGCUAUCUUGAUAUAAUUUCUCAUUUUUCCCUCGAAAAGCCAAAUUAUGUUUAGCAAGAAACUUGACAGCAGAAACAAUUCUUACUAAAACUUGUCUCCAACGCUCUCUCUCCUUUGCAAUUUCUCGUUGCAAAUCAUCAUCAAUUGUUUUAUUUUUGCUCAACCUUAGCCUAAGUUCAUUCCAAGUAUUCAUGUUUGUUAUAUGCUCAACACUAUUCUCAUGUUGUUUGAGUCUAAAACUAAGAUGUUUCCAAUCCCUCAAUCCAUCAUGUGCUAGCAAACUUUUGCUCUGACUUGAUUUGAACAAUUUGCAGCAAAAAUAAAAAACUUUGUCCACAUGUUUAGAGUAAACCAACCAUUUUCUAUCAACCACCUCACUAUUGCUUAACUCUCUGGAGUAGUAAGCAUAUGAAAAAUGUCUAUUAAGAGCAUCUGCAGGGAACUCAAGAUUCAAUUCUCUCACCGGUCCCUUUUCAAUCAAUAUAUCUCUACCUUUAUUAUCAAGAUUUCCUAAGUUCUAGGAUCAAAGACAUCAUGAAUAUAAGUUUCUUGCACAUCAUCAAUUGAAUUUUCAGGUUCACAGGAAGACUGUAAAUUUUCAUUAUCUGUAGCAUCAUCAAUGUCAUCAACUUGCUCACUUAAAUUAUCAUUAAUUUGUUGAUAUUGCUGCCCUUGUUCUUCAAUAUCAAGUGCAUCUACAGGAUUAUCAUCAGCACAACACUGCUUGAAGCUGAAAAAAACUUAUGUAUAGCACCCUUUUGAGAUUCAAUAAAUUGAUCUUCUACUCUUUUCCGUUUUCUUUUCUGAGACCCCGACAAAUGUUUCUUAGGUAACAUUCUAAGUUUCUAGCACCUAAAUUAGAAGAAAAAUACGACUAUAUGAGUACCGAGUACUAGAAGUCCGAAGUAAUUAAUUUAGAUUAAAAACGAUCAAGAAAAAAACCUAGAUCAUACCUGUGCGGCUGACCCGCUGUGCGCCUGCAGCCUGUGCCGCACGCGCGGUGCCGCGUGCCGCGCGGUGUGCCGGUGGCGCUGUCAAACUGUGCAGUGCAGCCACGCAGGCCGAUCCCCUCCGGCGGCAGUGUGGCACGGACGCACGGUAAUCGCCUAAUCGGCGAGACGGCGACUCGGUGACUCACGGGUGGAUGGCGUGCCGUGUGCCGAUUCGCGUUCACGAAUAAUGGAUCGACGGACGAGCGUACGCGUUUUGGCUUUCUCACGCUAAAAGCCUGGUGCUGACGGCCUAGUUCGGUUGUCAGGUUGUGGCCUGUACCGUAUACAUGGGGUCCUGGGCUGGCCCCCCCUCUCUGUGGGUCCUAGGCCAUCGCACCCCGUGCCCCCUCCCAGGACCGGCGCUGAUCCCGGUUCCCGUCCCGCUCCUGCCUAUCCCACUCCCAUUUCCAGGAAAAAAUAAGUGACGAGACAUGGUUAGGGGUUUUCCCGCCCGUUCCCGUCCGUUUUCAUCGCUACUAUUGGUAGCCAUUUGACCCGUCCAGCCUGCCGGCACUAACGAUGCUCAUUAUGAGGCUCCUGCAUAACCGGAUGCUGUCAUGUAAGACGCCACCCCAAGAUUUAAUUCUUGAAAUUUACUCACUUUUUGCUGAUAAUAAUCUUGUUUCCCUAUUUUUGGAUCGUCCUCCGAAUCAUGUUUUUUUUUCUGUGUUGGUUCGAUAGGAUUAGAUUGCAUUGCAGCGGCGCAGUCAGUAUCUGGAGGAGUUGUUGCAAGGGUUGCAUUGCGUGGUGCUGCUGCUCUUGCUCGUUGGCGAGGAUUCUCGAGCGGCUUCAGACACUCUAAUGUAGUAAUGCUGAUUACUGGCUUUGGAAACAUGCAGGUUUAGAUUUUCCCUUGUAAAGUUCCGGAGCUAAUUCACAGGGACAGCAGGUUUAGUGUAAGAUUUGCUUAAUCAUGUGGUUUGCUUUUCCAAUACACUGCUAAUCUUUUAAUUUUGUUGCUUCUUGCUUUAGGAGCAAUACCAAAUGAUUAAUACCUGUUGCAGAUGAUUAGUUCACCUGUUACAGAUGAUUGUUGUCCUUUGAAUGACGUGCGUGUUAUUGUGCGAGUCAUAUUAUUUGAUCUUAAUACCUGUUGCAGAUGAUUGUUGAACUUUGAUCUUUUCCUUCAAAACCAACUAUCUUGUUAGGGAAUGCAUAGGUGAUUGGCCUCUGGAUCAGCAUAGGUGAGGGAAGUGAGGUAUGCUUGGUUGGUCUUUGGAUUAUUUGAAUACUGUACCAAAAUUUGACCGUGGUAUGGAUUUAAAUAGUCCUGGUACAAAAAUGAAUUUGCAAGUGCUGUUAGUGUUUUUAAAACAAGCUUACUGCAAUUAUUGGCAACACAAUUAUAGUCACCUUUUAGAAUUGGUCAUUCCUUUUUUUCCUAAAAUCUAAUGUGGUUGGGACAAGCUACACCUGCAGCAAGCAACUAAUAAAAAUGAUCGGUUGGCAUAUGAUGUCUGCUUCCAUUAGAUAUAAGCAUUACGCACAAUCUAUGCUAAUUUGUAGUGAAGGUUUUGCUUCUCCAUGGAAACUAUAUAAAUCACAUUCAUAUUUGUGUUUUAGGAUUAGGAUGUGCCUUCAAAAUGAAGAUGAGGAUAGAGGGAAAUGAAAAUAAUGAUGGCUUUGAGAGGAAGUUCAGAAUACAGAAGUAUCUGAUGGAAACAACAGAGCCUUAGUAUGCAUGGUGUUUGAAAAUAUGAAGAAAAUAUCUAUUGCUUGUGGAUACCUUUACGGAAACUAGAUUAGAGUUUCAUUACUGCCUGUUACAUAUAAGAUAAUUGAGGUUUACAUGUAUAUUUAAACAUAUUCAUUUAAUCUUUGUUCUUUAACGAUUUGCCAUUCUUAAAUAUCCUUUCUAUUGAGAUUCGGCAUAGGUGAAAUUGACAUUAACAAUUCCUUCCUAUUGCAAUUAGUAACAAAUAAAAGUAAAAUAUAUCUUAAAAAUAAUUCAGAAAUAUUUUCUAAAAGUAAUUGAAU